UGAGUAACCUGCCCUUAACUCUGGGAUAAGCCUGGGAAACUGGGUCUAAUACCGGAUAUGACUCCUCAUCGCAUGGUGGGGGGUGGAAAGCUUUAUUGUGGUUUUGGAUGGACUCGCGGCCUAUCAGCUUGUUGGUGAGGUAAUGGCUCACCAAGGCGUCGACGGGUAGCCGGCCUGAGAGGGUGACCGGCCACACUGGGACUGAGACACGGCCCAGACUCCUACGGGAGCAG
rnacentral:rRNA from 1 species